AAUCUAGAAUUAAAUUUUUAUUUAAAGUUUGCAACUUUACAUUGUGCUUGUUAUUAGGCUCCUAGAUUA
rnacentral:tRNA from 1 species